AGUGAACGCUGGCGGCAUGCCUUACACAUGCAAGUCGAACGGCAGCGGACCUUCGGGUGCCGGCGAGUGGCGAACGGGUGAGUAAUAUAUCGGAACGUACCUUUCAGUGGGGGAUAACGUAGCGAAAGUUACGCUAAUACCGCAUAUUCUGUGAGCAGGAAAGCAGGGGAUCGCAAGACCUUGCGCUGAUUGAGCGGCCGAUAUCAGAUUAGCUAGUUGGUGAGGUAAAGGCUCACCCAAGGCGACGAUCUGUAGCGGGUCUGAGAGGAUGAUCCGCCACACUGGAACUGAGACACGGUCCAGACUCC
rnacentral:rRNA from 1 species